AACGAACGCUGGCGGCAGGCCUAACACAUGCAAGUCGAACGCCGUAGCAAUACGGAGUGGCAGACGGGUGAGUAACGCGUGGGAACAUGCCCUUUGGUUCGGAACAACUCCGGGAAACUGGAGCUAAUACCGGAUAAGCCCCUCGGGGGAAAGAUUUAUCGCCGAAGGAUUGGCCCGCGUCUGAUUAGCUAGUUGGUGGGGUAAUGGCCUACCAAGGCAACGAUCAGUAGCUGGUCUGAGAGGAUGAUCAGCCACACUGGGACUGAGACACGGCCCAGACUCCGACGGGAGGCAGCAGUGGGGAAUAUUGGACAAUGGGCGCAAGCCUGAUCCAGCCAUGCCGCGUGAGUGAUGAAGGCCCUAGGGUUGUAAAGCUCUUUCGCCAGGGACGAUAAUGACGGUACCUGGAUAAGAAGCCCCGGCUAACUUCGUGCCAGCCGCCGCCGUAAUAC
rnacentral:rRNA from 1 species